rnacentral:rRNA from 1 species
UGGGCAACCUGCCCCAGACACAGGGAUAACCCCGGGAAACCGGGGCUAAUACCGGAUACUCCGGUCGAGCCGCAUGACUCGAUCGGGAAAGCUCCGACGGUCUGGGAUGGGCCCGCGGUCUAUCAGCUUGUUGGUGGGGUAAUGGCUCACCAAGGCGACGACGGAUAACCGGCCUGAGAGGGCGACCGGUCACACUGGGACUGAGACACAGCCCAGACUCCUACGGGAGGCAG